CAGUGGCGAAGGCGGGCUGUCUGGUCUGUAACUGACGCUGAGGAAUCGGAAGUGUGGGUAGCAAACAGGAUUAGAUACGGGAAAGAGCGUCCCCGGAAAUGACGAGGGCUAACUGUUGGAGGGUUUCCGCCCUUGCGUGCUGCAGCUAACGCCCAAAAGCGUGCCGCCUCGGGGGGAGUACGUUCCGCAAGGUUGAAACUCAAAUGAAUUGACGGGGGGCCCGCACAAAGCCGGUGGAGCAUGUGGGUUUAAUUUCGAAGCCAACGCGAAAGAAACCUUACCAGGGGUCUUGGAACAUCCUUUUGGCAAAUUCUCAGAGAUUAGGAUUUUUCCCUUUCGGGGGCCAGAAUGACAGGUGGUGCAUUGGUGGUCAGGAUUCGUGGUCGUGGAGGAAGUUUGGGGUUAAGUCCCGGCAAAUGAGGCGCAACCCUUUUAUUUUAUUUUGUUUGGCAUUGAGGUUGGGACCCUUUUGGGACUGGCUUGGGCCGGGGGAAAGUGGAAAACAAUCUCUGCCCCCCUUAUUGACUUGGGGCUAUAAAA
rnacentral:rRNA from 1 species